rnacentral:lncRNA from 1 species
GGUGCAGUCCAGAUGUGGGAGCUUCGCCUGUACAGGCGAGCAGUGGAAACGGAGGAGGCACUAACAAAAAUGAUCUGGAAAACAGGAGCUGUUUGAGGACGGGCCCCCACAGGCACUCUGAUCCUGUCAGAGGCACCGCGAACGUUUUCAUCACUGUGACUGAAUCAGUGCAAAUCUACACACAGUCGUCUCUGCUUCCACUCGAGGUGGACAGCCAGGUAAACCACCCGAAGUCCUGCCCACUGAGGCGAUCGCCCUAACCAGUGUCUCGGGACCACGGCUGUCCAGGGCCGCCCGCUGUGGCUGAGGUCAGAGCAUCAGCAGAAGAAAUCCUCAGACACCAGUGUGAGGCGAAUUCUGAACAAGAUUCUGGUCACCGCCAGAGCCCAGUAAGUUCCCACUUAGACAGCAAGUGGACCAGGACACCCUGCGGGUUCCUGGAUGAUGCCCCAGCCCCGAGGCAGCAUCUGAAAACCCCCACCGUAUUUUUAUUUCUCACUUCACAGUUACCCUGGCAAGAGACAGAAUGCCCCAGGGGAAACCUCGAAGUCGGUCACCGUGCAGCCCCACGCCGCUGAAGGUUUCUGCCUCACAGGGACUCGGCCUCCUGUCGACCCCAGCCCUGGCAACGAGUUGGGCUGAUUCACGGAAUGAGCUGAGAGGCUCCGAGUUCUCCAUACGGUGACAAGCCGGUGUGAUGUCAUCCAACCUAG